rnacentral:lncRNA from 1 species
AGCGUGCGAGGGGCUGGGUGCGGCGUGGUUCCACCUGGGAGACCCCCAGAAAGCCAUCGGGCACUAUCAGGAGGCUCUGAUUUUGCUUUCCCGCUGUCAGGACAGCCCCAGAGCUGCACACAAACGGGUCGUGCACAAGCUCACAGAUGCCAUCCAGCACCGACUCCACCUCAGCCACCUCUCCUACCAGGGGAGCUGGGCACCCAGCCCAGCCCUGGAGCCCAGCCAGCUGCGGUUUUGCUCCACACUGCCCUGUGCCAGUAGGACACAGCUGCAAGGGAGCGAGGUGUGAGUAGGAAAGCUGCCAUCCUCUCUCUCCUUCCUCUGGAAUGAGUUUCCAGAUGAAACAGGAGACAAGCCUUCCUUCUUUCCAUGUCCUUCAGGGGGAAAGCCCAGACUGAGGACGAGCUGCAAUGGCGUAAACCAGGAGCAUAUCACGGGUAUUCAGGCACAAGAAUGGCCCUGACUGCUGGUCUCGCACUGGAGCCUUGCAACACAAGUGGCCUUCUGGGCACCUCUGGGGAGGAUGAUGAUGGUCCCAGCUCAGCUCCAGGGUAUCACAAUGCGCCCCAGGCUAACAGCACAAGAAUCACCAUCCCCCUGCCCCUGGCCAAACCACUCCAUGUAGGCCUCCAGCUCCACAAGUCCCACAGACAACCAGAACAUCACUUCUCCAGUGAGCCCAGGCCUGAGGGUCUCACACCGCAUUCCACAUGGCAUCAAAACCACCAAACCCUCCCUCCAAGGCCUCCAGAGAGCCUUGACAAUGCCCCCACUGCCACUGCUGCCGGCUGCUGGUCCCGCCGGGGACCUCGCACGGGGACCAGGACUCUGUCCCUGGUCUGCAGCCUCGUGUGACCAGGAGGGCACCGGGGAAACGCCGUUUCUCGGGGGCUGUCCAGGCCCAAACCUGAGGCUGGGGGGGGUGGGCCGUUCAGCCAACACGAUUUUGACUCCGCUCCGUUUCCGCCAUCCUGUGUGUGAAAAAUGCCAAUCACUUGGUUUUUAAAAUUUAAAAAACUUAAUAAUAAUAAAA